rnacentral:rRNA from 1 species
GACGAACGCUGGCGGCGUGCUUAACACAUGCAAGUCGAACGGAAAGGCCAUGCUUUUGUGGGGUGAUCGCGUGGCGAACGGGUGAGUAACACGGGAGUAACCUGCCCUUGACUUUGGGAUAACUUCAGGAAACUGGGGCUAAUACCGGAUAGGAGCGCCUGCUGCCUGGUGGGGGUUGGAAAGUUUCGGCGGGUGGGGAUGGACUCGCGGCUUAUCAGCUUGUUGGUGGGGUAGUGGCUUACCAAGGCUUUGACGGGUAGCCGGCCUGGGAGGGUGACCGGCCACAUGGGGACUGAGGUACGGCCCAGACUCCUACGGUAGGCAGCAGUGGGGAAUAUUGCACAAUGGGCGGAAGCCUGAUGCAGCAACGCCGCGUGCGGGAUGACGGCCUUCUGGUUGUAAACCGCUUUCGCCUGUGACGAAGCGUGAGUGACGGUAAUGGGUAAAGAAGCACCGGCUAACUACGUG